CACAUAACAAAUAAAAAAAUAAAAACAUAAGGAAUAGGGGGAAGGGGAGGAAGCAAAAGAUUUAGGCCAUUGGCCCAAACCAACAAAACCUGUUCUAGUCUAGUUUUCUGAGCCUUUAGCUCGAGUCUUGCCCCACCUGUAUUAAAUUUACAACUUUGGCUUCAAAGCCCCCAAAUAAAUGAAUGAAUAAAUAAUGAAAUAAAAUAAAUAAAGACAACAAUAAUUAAGUAAAAUAACAAAUAAGACUUUUGAGUCUCUUAGCCGCUUCAAAGAUGGAUUUUAACCUAUUUCUUCCUCUUUCGUCCUCUUCUUUUGUGUCCAUAUGUAAGGUGACUGUCCUUUUUGGGGCUUCGAAAUUGACUCGAGAAGGAUGGGCCUUAGUGGCCCAUAUCGAUAAUGCAAAAGCGGGAAGAGUUUAUUUAAGACUCAAAUUUAUCCACAUGCAAAGCAAAGAAAAAGGAAAUUAAUCCAUGUGAAAUGAAGAUAAAUACGAAAGCAAAUUGAAGGAACUACCACUAAUGUUACACUGUAUAAGAUACAAUAUUAAUGUUAAACAAAUAUUGAUGCUAAGCAAAAUGUAACGAAGUAAAUGCACAAAAAAUAUUUUUGAUGCUAAACGAAAUACAGAAAUAAGUGCAGAAGGACUACUAUUAAUGUAAAACAAGAUACAGGAGAUGAAUCAAUAAAUCCAAAAUAAGGAAAAUUUGAAUAAAUAAAUAUAAAAAAAGACGAUCCGCUUGUAGGCAUGCAUACUUUCUGAAAUAAGAUGAUCUUACACUAUUUGCUAGCAUAUUGUGAGACAAAAUCCUAGGCAAAGCUUUUCACAUUUAGCAGAUUAAUCAUUCUUCGCCAUGCUUUAAGUGAAUCCGUUGGACGGGAUGGUAGAUUACUAUUAACAUUUAAACUAGAUGCUAAAGGGUCCAGGUGGGGAAACUUUAGCAAGGAAACGUUUAAACAAAAGUAUCAAAAGAAGCACAUUUAUAUAGCAACUCAAAGGAAGAAGCAAUUAUUCCAAUAAUUGAAUAUCUCACCUCCCGUGGAAAAUGUAUAGCCAAAAGUAGAUUAAAGGUCAAGGGAAAUCCCGAAAGGUGAGAUGAAUUCCAAUGAUACCCUUUGGAAUCUGAGAGGUAACAAAGACUAAAUCAACAUAAUGUUGGAAGAUGCCUUUGCACAUUUUCCACUUAGCUACAGAAAUCUCAACACAAAGAAAAUAGACAGCAAGCAAAAUCGCGGUAAACUCUAGGGAACUAUACUCAAAUAAAAAGAAAAAGCUAAUUGAUGCUAUUUGGCAUACUUGAAUAUAAUGGCAUGAAAGAAAAUAAUUCACUCUAUAUCAUAAGGACAAAUAAACAGAUUCAAUGAUAAAGGAAAAACUUUCCAAAUGAGCAAAUAUUUUUCAAAGCUCAAUCCAGGGGUACAAUCGAAAUAACACAUGGGUUCACGCCAUAAAUUCCUUGGGUUAUUAAGAGUCAAAGCUAUUUUACUAUAUUGAUUUUAACGAGUCAUAAUCAGUAUCAAAAAUCUUAGAGGGGAGAAAUAUAAGGGGCGAUGCAGACAAUAAAUAGAAAAAAAAGGAAAAGAACAACAACUAGUAAAUAAACCUUCUGUCAAAUCCGGAUUCAGCAUGAACUUGUUUGAGUGCCAAACACAGCCGGUUCUAAAUUAUAGUAUAUAACUACUUAUCCCAAGGAAUGAUCAUGGAUACAAAAAAAUAUUUCAACCGAGCAAAUUAUGCAUCUCAAGACAGAAAAAGAAGACCUAAGACAAUACGGAUAGCAAUACAGGCUUAGCAAACAUAAGAAAGGUUCAAGUAGGGACUCUUGGAUGGUGACAACACUGAACCAAAUAGCACAUGAAAAGAAACCAACAUAGCCUAAAAGGAAACCAAAAACUGAUUUAUAACGAGAUGAUAUUCAACGACCCCUGAAAAACAACAUGAACCGAAACGCAAAGAAGAAGAACCGUCAACAUAUUCAUCAUAGAGUCCUAUGGAUUGUCAAAUAUCCCAACAGAAAUCAGUUCCCAGCAAACAACGACAGUAUUAUAAUGAAAUAUUGAAGAAAGAGAUGAAGAAGAAGAAAACAACGACAAAAGUUAAAAGCGGAAAGAGGUGUUUACCUUUUUUGGAGCAGCAAAACAGAACUACGAGUUGACGUCGAAUUUCACCACCACCGGAGAAGCGUCGUAGUCAGCUUCGGAACUUCGGUUACGCAGACCAAUAUUCGGAAACAAAAUUUCCACUAAAAACAAAGAUUGAAUCUUUGCUUAUAAGUUUUUCCCUUCUUCUUUUCUCUCUCAAUUAGCACGCUUAAACAAUUUCACCCUUUACAUCAGUCCCAUCAUUACAGCUGCUCCCCUCCCCCCAAUAACCCCUCCUUCUUUGGUCCCAAAAAAACACCCCCCCCCCCCCCCCCCCCCCCCUCUCCUCUCUUUCUUUCUCCAAAAUAAUGAAGCAAUGAGUCCUUAUAUAAGACCAAAUUAGGGGUUUUUAGGGAUUCCACAAAUAGGAUAUUUUUGAAUUUGAAAUUCAAAUUUCCCAUUUGGCUUGGGGUUUCAUCAACAAGGACCCCUAUUUUGGAUUAUCUUCAACUGAUUUCCAAGAAAGGCCAAUAGAAAAUGGGGGAAAUGGAAUAGUCUCCCCCAAACCAAUAAAAAUGGCCCAAAUAUGUCCCAAAUUUGUACCUUCAUCCCGAGAUUCGCGGAUUUGAGCCAUUGGAGGUGACACCUAAGCUAUUUUUUAGAAGCUUCACAGUUCUUCUUCGUUGUAAUAUCGCGUGAGACGCGUGUGAGAAUGAUCGUGUCGGGUUUUUCGGAUCGUUGGCGAGUUGUUGGGGGUGUUAUCGGGUCCUUGGAUUUGGGUGGAGAGUUGUUGUUGUUUGUGGUCGAAGGUUGUAUGCUGAUUGUCAAAUCAAAAAUUGGAAGAUGAUAUUAUUGUUUUGGCUGAUGGAGAGGAAAUAUAUGGGAUGGGCCGGGUUGGAAGGUUGUUGUUGGGCUGAAAUAAAAUGAUAAUUCAAAAGAAACUGGGUUGCUGGUGGGCUGAAAUUGUUGCUAUGUUAAAUUGGGCUGGUUAGGUUGAUUAUUGUUGGGUUGUUGUGUUGGGCUUGGGAAAUUGCGGAUUAAUUUAAACUAAACCUCAAUUAAAUUAUGAUAUGGAUAGGUUAGGCUAUUUUGGCUAUUUAUUAAAUAGCCAAAAGAAAGAAACUUUAGGCAAUUUCAUUUAAUAUUUAGCCUAAUUAAACUCAAUCGACCAAUUGUAUUGAAAUUAUGGCCAUAUUAAUUUCAAUUAAGGUCUAAAUUUAAAUAGAUUGACUAAAUUCAAUUGAAAUAGAUACGAAUUAAUCCUUUGUUUGAUCCCGAGCUUCUUGAUUUAAUAAAACCAAACAAGUAUUUCUCCAAAUAGAUUAUUUGUAAGAAUAAAUUGUAUUUAAAUCAAGAUUUAAUUAUUUAAAUUUAUUUUCCAAAUAAUCUUUAAUUUAAAGUCCAAUUUUGAUGAAAAUGUUCAUUUAAAUAACAUCAUUUAUACAAUCUCAUAUAUGCAAAUACGAAAAUAUAUAAUUAUCACUUAAGUGACAAAUUUAGCCCAAAUACCUAUUUUAAAAUGCAUUUAUUUGGAAAAAAUAACUGUUGUGAUUUUAUUUGAAAAUCGAAGAAACUCGAGAUUAAACGUAGUUGUGGAGGGCAAAAAUUAGGUUUCAACAACUGCCUCCUCCAUUUGGAUAGGAUGGAUGCAAGUAAUCCUGGGCAAAGGGAGGUUGACGUUCCUAAUUUUUGUCCGAUCAUAAAUUUGUAUCUAAAGGAGGUUGGAUUUCUGCACGAGUUUCAUGGAGUUAUAGCCAAACCUCGAUAUUAGGUUUCCUACAUAUCUCAGGUUUCAUGAGAAUUCAGGCCACUUGUAGUUCAUAAACCUUGAUUUUAAGCACAAUUUUCAAGAAAAUUCAUCAACUAUCACGGUUUUAGAGUUUUUGGUUAAACCGAGAGGUUGGGGAAUAGAGAGAUUUGGGGGAGGUUGAAAUGCAGUCGAGUUUUCUACAUAGAGACUAGCCUACAUAUCCCUGAAACUCAAGGAAUCAAACUGCUUGUAGUUCGACUCAAUCGGUAGAAAAGAUAGUUUUCUAUUUCAGACGAUCUUUGGCUUGAGAUGAGUGACAAGUUGAUCGAGUUGAGGAAAAGAGGCUUGUAACCUCUUAACCAUGAAUGUGGUAUCCUUCACAUCCAUAGGAAAUAACUUACCUGGACGUAAUUUCCAAAACUCUAAGUGUGUUGCCACCCGAAUUUGAAAGAAAGAGAAGGUUACCCUUGGCAUGAGUUUAGAAAUAUCCCGAAGGUGAAUCUGAAACCAUAAUAUCCUGAAAUACCCACAUGCCUUCUAACAGGGGUGUGGUUGGAUGGUGUUGGUGAACAUCCUUUAGCUUGCGUCCAAAGAGUUUGACGUCCCUCUUUGGACUAUGUCCCAUUUUGCUGCUAAGAAAAAGUUCCACGUUGUGUUGCAUCCUAUUUGAAGUCAUCCACACCUGUGGUUUUGAUUUGAAAUUUUCAUCCUCUUGGAUGCUCUCGCUAAUGCUUCAAGCAAAAAGUGUUAGUGCUAAACAUAAUUUACGAAAGAGGUAUGUAGUCUUUUACCAUAUCUCCACGUGAGUUGUGGCCUGAAAAACGGAGACAUCUCUUCAUGUACCAGUUUGGAAUGAAAUAACCAGCAAUACCAAACACAACAACCCUCUUCGUUGUUAAAAAAUUAUGACAUUUAUCGGUUGAAUAUGUCUUCAAAGUGGGAUGGCCUUUUUGAACACCGGCGAUACUUUAUGCUGAACAGUCCCUACAACUGUGUAAUCUUAUGCUAGUGUGGCAACCCUUUUGGUUACCUAUAUCACUUAUCAUAUGUGGAAUGAUAAACUCUCCAGUUAUAGCCGAUGAUCGAUUUAUAAAUUUUUCUUAAAUUGUCAAUCUUCGGAUAAUCUUAUGCAUUAUUUGAUGUUGGAUAUGAGGAGACUUACAAAUAUCCUUUGAAUUGCUAGCUUUUAGGUAAUCCUGCAUAUUGUCUGACCUUGGAUAAGAGAUGGAUUACAGAUAUCCUUCCAAUCACUAGCUUUUAGGUGUUCCUACACAUCAUCCGACCUUGGAUACAAUAUGACUUAUAGAUAUCUCUCAAAUUGCUAGUCCUUGGGUAACCCUGCACAUAAUCGAUCUUGGAUAUAACGCAGCUUAUAGAGAAUCCUUGGACGUAUCAAUUUGAUAAUCUCGCAUAUUCUCCGGUAAGGAUUCAGUUGCGACUUAUGAAUAACCUCCAGACUAUCAAUUUUUGGGCGAUCUUGCACACUAUCUAAUUAUGAUGUUGUUGUGGCUUAUGGAUGACCUACAAGCUAUCAACUCAUAGGUGAUCUUGCACACUAUCCUAUUUUAAAUAAUAUGACUUAUAGAUGACCCUCAAACUGUCAAUUUCUAGGAAAUCUUAUAUACCAUUUAUCCUUAGACAUCGACUUAAAGGCGUCCCUUCAAACCAUGUGCUCUUGAUGCAUUCAGAUGUUGAUUAAUAAAAUGAUGAGAUAUCCACGACGCCAGCAUUUAUUCUUGCGUGUCAACAGAUAUAAAAUAAUGAUGAUAUCCUCGACGCCAGCGUUGUGUCUAGCGCAUCAACAGAUAUUGAAUGAUGAUGAUAUCCUCGAUGCCAGCAUUUUGUCUUACAUGUCAAUAGAUAUAUUGAAUGCUGAUGAUAUCCGCGACGCCAAUGUUGUGUCUAGCACGUCAGCAGAUAUUGCAUGAUGAUGAUAUCCUCGACGUCAGCGUUGUGUCUUUAAUGUCAAUAGAUAUGUUGAAUGUUAAUGAUAUCCUCGAUGCCAGCAUUGUGUCUAGCAUAUAAACAGAUAUUAAAUGAUAAUGAUAUCCUCGACGCUAGCGUUGUGUCUUGCGUGUCAACAGAUAUAAAAUGGCACUCUCGGCAAAUGAUAUGAAUGGCCCUCUUGGCAAUGAUAUGAAAUGACCCUCUUGGAAAUGAUAUGUAAUGUCCCUCUUGGCAAUGAUAUGCAAUGGCCCUUGCGGCAAUGAUAUGUGAUGGCCCUUGUGUCAAUGAUAUGCAAUGGCCCUUGCGGCAAUGAUAUGCAAUGGCCCUUUCUGCAAUGAUAUGUAAUGGCCCUUACGGCAAUGAUAUACAAUGGCCCUUGUGGAAAUGGUAUGCGAUGGCCCUUUCGGCAAUGAUAUGAAAUGGCCCUCUCGGCAAUGCUAUGAAAUGGCCCUCUUGGCAAUGAUAUGAAUGGCCCUCUUGGCAAUUUGAAAAUAGUUUCACCUGAGUUUGUUUGUCUGUGUCUUGCUUUCUACAUGUACCUGUACUCAAGGUAGAUGAUUAGUAGACAUAAAGUCGCUUUUGCGAGCGACUAUAUUUUUUAGAAAAAUUCUAAAUACAAUAUUUGUAAAGACAAGACACUUUUGUUUGUCCUCCAUGAUCUCAAGAAAUGAGAUGGACAAUUCAAAAGGUUCUCAAUAAAUGGGUAUUAAACCCAUUUUUAUGGAUACCCAAAAAUACCGUUCUUGAGCAUUAGUGCUCUGGUGUGGCUCGUAAUUUGCUCGGGGAUUUUUGAAAGAGACUCUCAUUUUUGUGUAUUGGUCCCUGCAUCCAUAGAAAAAUGAUUAGUUUGAGUUAAACUACUCCAUGUUGACUUUCUUUGAUUCUUCAUUUGCUCUACGCCAUCUUUUGGGUACUCUGUCAUGUUGGGACUUCCACCCUUGACUCCCCAUCCUAAUUGAUGUCUAGGAAAUCAUUAAGUAAAAGAUUUAUAUAGAUUUUUUAAAGUAGUCUUAAUUUUUUAGAAAAUAGUUUCGAAAACUCCUGCAAAACUUUAGAAAAUCUCUGCCAGUCAUGUCAUGUGCUAGCUCAACGGCUAUCUUUCUCUUGAUUCUGACAAUGUCCAACGUUUGGUGGAGGAUAGGUAGGGAUUCAACAUUUUUUAGGCUCUCUACCAGAAGUUUUAUCAAAGGCAGAGAUUCAGUAUUCGUAGACUUUAUCACAGGUGGUGAUUCUGAAAUCUCAACUUCGACCUUUAGUGCUGGGGAAUUUGAAAUAUAUUUCAAUAUUUGAUUGAAAUUUUGAGGCCUCCCUCAAAAUUUCUUCCCCAGUUUUAGUCUGAGAUGAUAUCAUCUUGAGUGGAUUUGAAGCCUUUGCUGAUCUUCAUUCUCUUUGUUGGAUGUUGAUCUUCUCUUGUGAAUUUUCGAGAUUUCUUCUCGAAAAUUCUGCCCUAGUUUUCAUUUCCUGAGGUUAUAUGACCGAGCCGUUGGGCGCCUACGUAUCUCGUUGAAGCAGGAAUUAGGUCAAACGUAGUUCAAGAUAAAGGGAAAUAAUAUAUUAUCCUAAGGGGUUGACCGAAGCCGACAUAGGCUGUCUACGUAUCCCUUUCUUGGGAAUUCAGGUCAAACAUAGUUCGUACAUAAAGGGAAAGGAUUCUAGGCAAUUACACAUCAUAAAAUUGAUACUAUUAUGAAGGUGAUUAAAAAUAAGCCAAGAAAAAAAAACUAUAACAUCUUUCAAGCACAAUAUCUCUUUACCGCAUCAAAAUUAAUUGGUUUGGUCCACUCUUGACCAUCCAUCUCAGGUAGGAUUAGGGCUCCUCCAGGUUGGGCUUCUUUUGAUUUUCACAUUCCUCUGCAUCUACUACUAACUACUCCUCACCAUCUUUUUCUGUUCAUCAUUAUUUUCUUUGCUCUGUUCGUCUAACCCUCGACAUGACAUAACAUUGACAGGUUUUUGAAUUAUUGUUACCAAAAUAAGCCAUGCUAGAUAAUUAUAUUUAAAAAAUAACUUCUUAAAUAAAGGGAGGCCUUUUGUAAAAUAAAUAAAACUAUGUCUUAGGACCCACACAAAUAUGGGCCCAUGCCUUUUUGAGAGUUGUAAACACGAAACAAAAAUUUGAGACAUAAAAGGUGGAUCACGGGGCCUCCUCCGGAUCAUCACCGAUUUUAAAAACUAUUGGUAAUUUCCCUUUCAUCUACCGUGACGGGAGACGAAUUAGGAGCGAAGUGGAAGUCUAAUUUUUUAAAGCUUCUCCUGGUGCAACCUUCUUCAUCCCACCGGACUUAUCUGGUAGAGCAUUGGAUCCUUUGAACAGAUCUCCUAUCCUAUCCCCAAGACCAUUAUCAUUUGACAUCUCAUGUACCGGAAAUGACUGGUACAAGAGCGGCAAGGGCCUAAAUAGACUCUCCUUUGAAUUAUCUUCGAUCUCAUCUUUCUUUCUUGGUUGGUACUCUAUUCCAUGCUUAAAAGCUUUUUCUGGGACCAUAACAGGCUUGAUAAUUCUUUCUAAAUCCUUACUUAAGGUGGCCACAACUUCCUCUAUCUUCUCUAUCUCUUGUGUUCCUUUGAUUCCUUCUGAAUUUACCUUAGUGAUCGCCUUGCUAGAAGUCCAUUCACCUUCUAUUUCAAUCAUGUUAACUGUAGGUCCCCCAUGGUUAGGAAAUGGAUUACUAUUAACAUUUGGUGUCGGCGACUGAAGCGUGAUGACCUUCUGAUCGAUCAAAUCUUGGAUCUUAUGUUUCAAGUUAAUACAAUCCUCUGUACUGUGCCCCGCUGCUCCUGAAUGAUAGGCACAAUUUUGAUCGGGAUGAUAAAAUCAGGAGUUUGGAUUGAUAGGCUUUGGCUGGAUCUGUUGCAAAUAACCAGCUUUCAUCAAUAUUCCAAAGAGCUGGGUAUAACUUUCAGCUAGAGGCAUGAAGUUUUGGGGAGGUUUCUUUUUGAAGUUUGGACGUGGAAGGUUAUAAUGGUUCUGAUUUACAGAAGGAGGUACUUGAUGAUAAUUUGGAGACGUUUGGACAUUUAUUUGGUUAUUUGAAAGAGUAGCUUGAGUAUGAGGCUGAUAAUUUGGCUGUAGAACUUGGUACUGGGGUAAAAUAUUUGGAAUUAGAGCUUGAUAUUGGGGAUGGGCGUAGAAUACAGGCUAAAAAUUAGGUGAUGGUGGUGAGGAAAGAAUAUUCCUAGGCUUGAAUUUCCUCUUCAAUUUAUCAACAAAAUCAGUAGAGACCACAGUCACAUCCUCUUUUUUCUUCUUUGAGAAUGCAGAAGAUUCAGAUGAUGUUGGGGUUUUGGCAAUUUUUCCUGUUCGGAUGCCUUCCUCUAAUGAUUCUCCAAUCUUUACUAAGUCUGCGAAAGUUGCAUGGACCACGGACACAAACCUGGUAUAAUAUUCUCAUUCCUGUGCGUGAGAGAAAACUGAUACCAUUUCUUCCUCAGACAUGGGAGGUCGUACUUUAGCAGCCUCUUUUCUCCAACAAAAGGCGUAGUCUCGAAAAUACUCAUUAUUAUUCUGUUUGAUCUGAUCUAGUGAGUAUCGGUCAGGGACCAUCUCAAUGUUAAAUGCGAACCUGUCAAGGAAAUCCUUGGACAAUGCUUUCCAACCAGUCCAUCUUUUCAGUUCCUGAAACCAAUCUAAGGCUUUGCCACUUAAACUUCGGCUGAACAGACGCAUCAAUAACGUCUCAUUUUUUCCUACCCCCACCAUUUGAUCACAAUACCUUCUCAGAUAGGCCAUUGGAUUUUCGGUGCCAUUGAUCACUUCAAAUUUAGGGACCUUAUACCCUUCUGGUAGAUCUAUUCCAGGGUGAACACAUAAAUCAUCAUACCCUAAACCAUCGUAGUCCCUCACUCCAUGGGAUUCUUUGAUCCUCAUGAUCUCUUCAUUCAAAGCUAGCAACUUUAUUUCAUGCUGAGUCCUCCACUCUUUCUCCUUCUCCUCAUAAUAGUCCAUCUCGGGAUUAGGGAGAGGAUUAUAGAUAUCAGGGGAUAUAAUGGCAUGGAGAGGAUUUGGAAGGGAGGCUUGAUUUUGCGGAUGAAACGAAGUGGGUUGGUAGGUGAGGCGAACGUUAUGAAAAUUAGAAAGGUUUUGUGGAAUUUGAGAGUGAUUUGGAGAUGGGUUUUGUGGGGUUAGAGAUAGGUUUUUUGGAUGGUAGGCAUCUGGGUUAUUUUCAUGAUUAGUGUUUUGGACAAAUGGAGGAGCGGAGACGAGCAUAUGUUAUUAGACUGAUUCCCAAGAAUCAGUGUACUGAGGGGAGAAAUUUGGAGUGGAGUCUCAUGUCCUCCUAGAGCGAGGGCAUUGACGGUGAUGGCUAGGUUAGCCAAAUCUCGAGUGUGGUUUAUUUCCUCCUGAAGCAUUUCUAAUUUUCUUGCGAGUUCCGCAAUCAUCUCACUCUGUUCCACUAUUACAUUGUCCUUGAUGAUCAAUAUGUUUUCUUCAUCAUUUCAAGUUAUUAUUGAAUGAUGGUCAGAGGAUGGGAUUUUAUGCGUUUUUGACCGGGUAAAGUAGGGAUGUUCUGCCAGCUUAUAUCAACAUAGAGUAGUUUCUAUUAUCUAUUAAGUAAAACAACUCAAAGGCAGAUGUGUUAGUUUCCGUAUGUGAUAAGUAAUGCAAAAUAUUUUGACAAGAAAUAACCACAUAGAGUUUUUUGAUUCAUAGCCGAAUUCAUCCAUAGGAGCAUAGCGGAUAAACUUGCCUUUGAUCCAAACAAACACACAUAAGCACAUAAGACAAUUAUAUUACACAAAACAUUAUGAUAAUGCGUAUCCUAACUGGGGUAACCCUUUUUUGAGCCAAGGGUUCAGGGCUAGCGAUUUUUGAAGAAAAUAUAUGCUUCCCUAAAAUCAAUCCACUAUCCCCCAACUUAUACAGACACGAAAAGUUCAUAAAUGCUUACAAACGAUAACAAAAGAAGGAUACAAUCUUUAGGGAAAAAGAAAAAUAACAUGAAAGAAGAUAAGCUCCCACGCAGGGGAUAGAAAAUACUAAUUCCUGAGUGCUUCUUCUAUCAGCCUUCGCCUUCUCAAAUUUGUCCAUUUCUUAUAUUGGUGACGUCUGUAAACUGUGCCUUAGAUGCAACCUCCCUAAUCGAUCAAUUUCUUGCUUAACUUGCUUCAAUUCUUCUUACAGAAGUAAGCAAAUCAAGCUUUUUCUGACCCCCAAAGGAUAAUGGAUUGAAUUAGACAGGCAUAAAUUUUCUUCAACACAUAAAUAUAGUUCGUCCAUAAUUGACUUGGGGUCAAUAGACGUAGGACAGGUUUUCUAAUAGGCCCAAUACCCUGCUCGGGUAUUGGGUCGUCCUAGGAUCAUGCCUAAAAUAGGGUUUUGGUUUCGUUCUAUCUUAGGUGACUAGAGUGGGUUUGAACACUAGUUCUCAAGCGGACAACUUGAGUUUGAAAAUAUGAACAAUGUCAGACAACUCACGUGCUAAUAAGCUGUUCGUAUUUUCAACACAUUUUGGGAUUGAACAAUAGGGGCCGGGACAUCCACAAAACCCUAAAACAGUUUAAAUAAUACAGGAAUAUGCCAUGAGAUACGAUAAUUAAACUUUACAGAAUCGAAACAUAUAAACAUAUAAACAGUUAAUCAAAAGACGAAAUCAAACAUUUGGUUAGAACCUAGUUAAUCAGUCCCCAACAGAGUCGCCAUUUCUAUUUUGCGGAGAAAUUUGACUUUUGAAAGUCGCCACUUAAUUUUGAAAAAAGGAAUUAAGAAACCUUUAGAGAGUUACUUAAAAUGAUUCAAAACAGGAAAAUCAUUUAAGUUUCGAAGAUUCUGAGUAUGUGGUUCUUAUUAACAUUUUAGGAAGGUGUUAUGCAUCUAAAACAUCCUCUAACUUGCGGUUAUCCUAACUGUUUGAAAAUCGUUUUUUGAUUAACUUCGAAAAGAUUAAUUUUUCUCGAAAAGUGAUUGAUUUUUUUUUUUUGAAAGAAAGCAAUUUUGAAAAUAGUUUGAUUUUUAUGCAAAAAUAGUUUUUUAGCGACUAAACUAAGGAUUUAACUAGGUUCGCAAAGCACAUAAAAAAUAAAAAAAAUAAAAACAUAAGGAAUAGGGGAAAGGGAGGAAACAAAAGAUUUAGGCCAUUGGCCCAAACCAACAAAACCUGUCCUAGUUUAGUUUUCAGAGCCUUUGGCUUGAGUCUUGCCCCACCUGUAUUAAAUUUACAACUUUGGCUUUAAAGCCCCCCAAAAAAUGAAUGAAUGAAUAAUGAAAUAAAAUAAAUAAAGACAACAAUAAUUAAGUAAAAUAACAAAUGAGAUUUUUGAGUCUCUUAGUCGCUUCAAAGAUGGAUUUUAACCUAUUUCUUCCUCUUUCAUCCGCUUCUUUUGUGUCCAUAUGUAAGGUGAUUGUCCUUUUUGGGGCUUCGAAAUUGACUCGAGAAGGAUGGGCCUUAGUGGCCCAUAUCGAUAAUGCAAAAGCGGGAAGAUUCCAUUUAAGACUCAAAUGUAUCCACAUGCAAAGCAAAGAAAAAGGAAAUCAAUAUAUGUGAAAUGAAGAUAAAUACGAAAGCAAAUUGAAGGAACUACCACUAAUGUUACACUGUAUAAGAUACAAUAUUAAAGUAAAACAAAUAUUGAUGCUAAGCAAAAUGUAACGAAGUAAAUGUACAAAAAUUAUUUUUGAUGCUAAACAAAAUACAGAAAUAAGUUCAGAAGGACUACUAUUAAUGUAAAACAAGAUACAGGAGACGAAUCAACAAAUUCAAAAUAAGGGAAAUUUGAAUAAAUAAAUAUAAAAAAAGACGAUCCGCUUGUAGGCAUGCAUACUUUCUGAAAUAAGAUGAUCUUACACCAUUUGCUAGCAUAUUGUGAGUUCAUACUUUCUAUGAUCUUACACCAUUUGCUAGCAUAUUGUGAGUUCACAUUUAGCAGAUUAAUCAUUCUUCACCACGCUUUAAUUGAAUCCGUUGGACGAGAUGGCAGAUUACUAUUAACAUUUAAACUAGAUGCUAAAGGGUCCAGGUGGGGAAACUUUAGCAAGCAAACGU
rnacentral:lncRNA from 1 species